AGGAUGGCAGGCAAAUCCACCGUCCGAGCUGAACUUGAUAGUAUGGAGUCUUCUUCGGAAGAAUCCAAUAGUGUGGGUAAUCAUACUCCCGAGAAAAUCCGCUAAGCUUAACCCAUGCGGCACCCGUACCGCAAACGGACACACGUGGUCGGGUAGAACAUACUGAGGCGUUGAGAGAUUCAUGGUUAAGGAACUAGGCAAAUUGACCCUGUAACUUCGGGAUAAAGGGUCCUCGUGAAGAGCGAGGCGCAGAGAAUAGGUCCAGGCAACUGUUUAACAAAAACACAGGGCUGUGCAAACUCGAAAGAUGACGUAUACAGCCUGACACCUGCCCGGUGCCGGAAGGUUAAGAGGAGAUGUCACACUUAUGUGGAAGCAUUGAAUUGAAGCCCCGGUAAACGGCGGCCGUAACGAUAACGGUCCUAAGGUAGCGAAAUUCCUUGUCGGGUAAGUUCCGACCUGCACGAAUGGUGUAAUGAUCCGGACGCUGUCUCAACCAUGAGCUCAGUGAAAUUGUAGUAUCGGUGAAGAUGCCGAUUACCCGCGAUGGGACGAAAAGACCCCGUGAACCUUUACUACAGCUUAGCAUUGACCUUGGUCAUCCGAUGUGUAGGAUAGGCCGGAGGCUUCGAAGCGGGAGCGCCAGCUUUCGUGGAGCCAUCCUUGAAAUACGGCCCUUUGGCUGUCUGAGGUCUAACGCGCGAUGCGCGGACACUGCUUGGUGGGUAGUUUGACUGGGGUGGUCGCCUCCAAAAGCGUAACGGAGGCUUCCAAAGGUGCCCUCGGGUCGAUUGGUAACCGGCCUCAAAGAGUGCAAUGGCAUAAGGGCGCUUGACUGGGAGGCAGACAUGCCGAGCAGGCAGGAAACUGGGGCAUAGUGAUCCGGCGGAUGUGUAUGGAAACUCCGUCGCUCAAAGGAUAAAAGGUACUCCGGGGAUAACAGGCUGAUCCCCCCCAAGAGCUCAUAUCGACGGGGUGGUUUGGCACCUCGAUGUCGGCCCGUCACAUCCUGGGGCUGGAGAAGGUCCCAAGGGUUGGGCUGUUCGCCCAUUAAAGUGGCACGCGAGCUGGGUUCAGAACGUCGUGAGACAGUUCGGUCUCUAUCUAUCGUGGGCGUGGGAGUUUUGCGUGGUGCCGUCACUAGUACGAGAGGACCGUGAUGGACAGACCUCCGGUUUACCAGUUGUGCCGCCAGGCGCACCGCUGGGUAUCUGAGUCUGGAUUGGAUAAGCGCUGAAAGCAUCUAAGUGCGAAGCCAGCCGCAAGAUGAGAACUCCAUUGAGGGUCGUCAGAGACGAUGACGUUGAUAGGAUGCCGGUGUAAAGACAGCGAUGUCAAAGCCGAGCAUUACUAAUUGCCC
rnacentral:rRNA from 1 species